rfam:Brachypodium distachyon strain Bd21 chromosome 3, whole genome shotgun sequence.
AUACUACUCCCUCCGUCCAACAAAGGAUGUCUCAACUUUGACUAAAUUUGAAUGCAUCUAUACACUAAGUCAUGUCUAGAUAUUUAAAUUUUGACAAACAUGAGACAUCUUUUGUUGGACGGAGAGAGUAAUAU